GUUCGGAAUUACUGGGCGUAAAGCGCGCGUAGGCGGCUUUGCAAGUCAGAGGUGAAAGCCUGGAGCUCAACUCCAGAACUGCCUUUGAAACUGCAUCGCUAGAAUCAUGGAGAGGUUAGUGGAAUUCCGAGUGUAGAGGUGAAAUUCGUAGAUAUUCGGAAGAACACCAGUGGCGAAGGCGACUAACUGGACAUGUAUUGACGCUGAGGUGCGAAAGCGUGGGGAGCAAACAGG
rnacentral:rRNA from 1 species